CGGGUGCGUAACACGUGAGCAACCUGCCGAUCUGAGGGGGAUAGCCGGCCCAACGGCCGGGUAAUACCGCAUACGUUUCUUGAGGGACAUCCCUUGGGAAAGAAACCUCCGGGGCAGAUCGAGGGGCUCGCGGCCUAUCAGCUAGUUGGUGAGGUAACGGCUCACCAAGGCGACGACGGGUAGCUGGUCUGAGAGGAUGGCCAGCCACAUUGGGACUGAGAGACGGCCCAG
rnacentral:rRNA from 1 species